UUUCCGUAGGUGAACCUGCGGAAGGAUCAUUAUUGAAUAAACCUGAUGUGGUUGUAGCUGGCCCUUUCGGGUGCAUGUGCACACCCGUCGUCUUUAUCUUUCCACCUGUGCACCUUUUGUAGACCUGGAUGUAACACUUUCCGAGGCAACUCGGUCGGGAGGAAUGCUGUCAGCUUUCCUUGAAUGUCCAGGCCUAUGUUGUCAUAUACCCCAAAGAAUGUAACAGAAUGUAUUAUUGGGCCUUGUGCCUAUAAACUAUAUACAACUUUCAGCAACGGAUCUCUUGGCUCUC
rnacentral:misc_RNA from 1 species